rnacentral:rRNA from 1 species
AUUGAACGCUGGCGGCAGGCCUAACACAUGCAAGUCGAACGGUAGCACAGAGAGCUUGCUCUCGGGUGACGAGUGGCGGACGGGUGAGUAAUGUCUGGGAAACUGCCCGAUGGAGGGGGAUAACUACUGGAAACGGUAGCUAAUACCGCAUAACGUCGCAAGACCAAAGUGGGGGACCUUCGGGCCUCACACCAUCGGAUGGGCCCCGAUGGGAUUAGCUAGUAGGUGGGGUAAUGGCUCACCUAGGCGACGAUCCCUAGCUGGUCUGAGAGGAUGACCAGCCACACUGGAACUGAGACACGGUCCAGACUCCUACGGGAGGCAGCAGUGGGGAAUAUUGCACAAUGGGCGCAAGCCUGAUGCAGCCAUGCCGCGUGUAUGAAGAAGGCCUUCGGGUUGUAAAGUACUUUCAGCGGGGAGGAAGGCGGUGAAGUUAAUAACUUCACCGAUUGACGUUACCCGCAGAAGAAGCACCGGCUAACUCCGUGCCAGCCGCCGCCGUAA